GGAAAGGUGGCUCAGCGGUAGAGCGCUUGCCUUGCAUGCACGAGACCCAGGGUUCCAUUCCU
rnacentral:tRNA from 1 species